AGAGGAGACAUUCUCAAACUGCAGUCACCCAGUUCUUUUAGAAUAAAUCAGCCGUGAUAGAAUGGAACUCCAGAUCAUAUGGAGUUAUAAAGUUUUAGAAGAUUGAAGUGGUGGUGACCUAAUUCAGAGGGAAAAUAAAAUCAAGGAC